rnacentral:rRNA from 1 species
CUACCAUGCAGUCGAGCGGUAGAGAGAAGCUUGCUUCUCUUGAGAGCGGCGGACGGGUGAGUAAUGCCUAGGAAUCUGCCUGGUAGUGGGGGAUAACGUUCGGAAACGGACGCUAAUACCGCAUACGUCCUACGGGAGAAAGCAGGGGACCUUCGGGCCUUGCGCUAUCAGAUGAGCCUAGGUCGGAUUAGCUAGUUGGUGAGGUAAUGGCUCACCAAGGCGACGAUCCGUAACUGGUCUGAGAGGAUGAUCAGUCACACUGGAACUGAGACACGGUCCAGACUCCUACGGGAGGCAGCAGUGGGGAAUAUUGGACAAUGGGCGAAAGCCUGAUCCAGCCAUGCCGCGUGUGUGAAGAAGGUCUUCGGAUUGUAAAGCACUUUAAGUUGGGAGGAAGGGUUGUAGAUUAAUACUCUGCAAUUUUGACGUUACCGACAGAAUAAGCACCGGCUAACUCUGUGCCAGCAGCCGCGGUAAUACAGAGGGUGCAAGCGUUAAUCGGAAUUACUGGGCGUAAAGCGCGCGUAGGUGGUUUGUUAAGUUGGAUGUGAAAUCCCCGGGCUCAACCUGGGAACUGCAUUCAAAACUGACUGACUAGAGUAUGGUAGAGGGUGGUGGAAUUUCCUGUGUAGCGGUGAAAUGCGUAGAUAUAGGAAGGAACACCAGUGGCGAAGGCGACCACCUGGACUAAUACUGACACUGAGGUGCGAAAGCGUGGGGAGCAAACAGGAUUAGAUACCCUGGUAGUCCACGCCGUAAACGAUGUCAACUAGCCGUUGGAAGCCUUGAGCUUUUAGUGGCGCA